GAUGAACGCUAGCUACAGGCUUAACACAUGCAAGUCGAGGGGAAACGACAUCGAAAGCUUGCUUUUGAUGGGCGUCGACCGGCGCACGGGUGAGUAACGCGUAUCCAACCUGCCCACCACUUGGGGAUAACCUUGCGAAAGUAAGACUAAUACCCGACGAUAUCUCUAGACGACAUCUGAAAGGGAUUAAAGAUUUAUCGGUGAUGGAUGGGGAUGCGUCUGAUUAGCUUGUUGGCGGGGUAACGGCCCACCAAGGCGACGAUCAGUAGGGGUUCUGAGAGGAAGGUCCCCCCACAUUGGAACUGAGACACGGUCCAAACUCCUACGGGAGGCAGCAGUGAGGAAUAUUGGUCAAUGGACGAGAGUCUGAACCAGCCAAGUAGCGUGCAGGAAGACGGCCCUAUGGGUUGUAAACUGCUUUUAUAAGGGAAUAAAGUGAGAGUCGUGACUCUUUUGCAUGUACCUUAUGAAUAAGGACCGGCUAAUUCCGUGCCAGCAGCCG
rnacentral:rRNA from 1 species